ACGCUCGACACCUACGGGGGCAGCAGUGGGGAAUAUUGCACAAUGGGGGAAACCCUGAUGCAGCGACGCCGCGUGAGUGAAGAAGUAUUUCGGUAUGUAAAGCUCUAUCAGCAGGGAAGAAAAUGACGGUACCUGACUAAGAAGCCCCGGCUAACUACGUGCCUGCAGCCGCGGUAAUCUGAGCGGGCUGGCAAGGC
rnacentral:rRNA from 1 species